UACAGAGGUGGCAAGCGUUGUUCGGAAUUACUGGGCGUAAAGGGCGCGUAGGCGGCCUUCUAAGUCAGACGUGAAAUCCCCCGGCUUAACCUGGGAACUGCGUCUGAUACUGGGAGGCUUGAGUAUGGGAGAGGGAUGUAGAAUUCCAGGUGUAGCGGUGAAAUGCGUAGAUAUCUGGAGGAACACCGGUGGCGAAGGCGGCGUUCUGGACUGUUACUGACACUGAGGAACGAAAGCCAGGGGAGCAAACGGG
rnacentral:rRNA from 1 species